AUGAGUUAAUAACAUAUGGAGGACUAGCCAAAAUUCGCAUUUGUGACAACAUAAUAGUUAGUACUUGAACUGAGGUACAAAACAGUUAUAAACACUAAAAAGACUUUAUCCUUACAUUUUCGUUCAUUUUAGACCACAUGAGGAGAGCAAAGAACUAUGUGAUAACGAAAUACCGUUGAACGAUGAGGAGGCCGACCGCUCAUAUUCAAGGAAUUUCACCCAGCCUCGUGCAGAGUACAUGGAUCUCAAAGAAAUAAGUAGAGAGCGCAAUACUAAAGAACAAAGCGCUCACCUAGUGGUUGAUUACGAGCCUCUGCGUCCAUCAACACGCUCCUGGGAAGUGCCAAGGGGUCACGUGUCUGUUGAAAAAAUCAUUGGUAAAGGUGCUUUCGGUCAGGUCGCCAAGGGAACAGCUGAGUAAGUUGGAGGGAGGCCUGGGACAACUGUAGUGGCUAUUAAAAUGUUAAAAAUUAACGCUGCAGAAUCAGACAAGAGAGAUUUGAUGACGGAACUUGACACAAUGAAGCAGCUAAAAACCACAUCCCCACGUCAUUAAAC